GUAAGCCUCCACCAGAUACUGCAAAGAUUAUUGUAUUCGAAUCAAUCCAUCGUAUUAAAAUCAAAGCUAAAGAAGUCGAGAUUAAACAUACCUCUUGCACAAGAACUGACACAUCAUUCAGGUUACCAUUUGCAAGAUCAAGCAAGAAUUCAGCAGGAUUCAUUGCAAUUAGUGGGGAACAUCCUAUAGAUGAGAAAUAAUUUAUUGCUUCAGCUGCUUUGCCAUAAUAGAUCAAGCUUCCCUUUCCAAGAAGAAUUAGCUUGUCAAAUUUAUGAAAUAGUCUGCUUGAUGGUUGAUGAAUCGUUGUCACCACGGUCUUCCCCGCCUGCCAUUGAAGAAAAACUUAAAUCAUUCUAUGAUGAAGUUAAUCAGCAAAACAGAAGAAGAACGUGCAUUGAUGAUAUAUACUUCAGCUAUCUCAUGUAAAAUCUGAACAAUUUUCAAUGCAGUUGUAGAAUCCAAGCCCGAUGUCGGUUCGUCAAGAAACAGCAGUGACGGAUUGAUUAGAAUCUCAUUGCCUAUAGAGACUCGACGCCUUUCUCCACCUGAAACUCCACGGACAAAGGAGCCACCAAUCAUUGUAUCCUGGCACCUGCAGAGGCUAUAUCGGUGAGCGCCUAAUCUAGAAGGAUGAACAUCUUAUGCUUCCAUUAGAAAAAGCUGCAAAUCCUUACCUUUCAAGGCCCAGCUCAUAUAUGACAUCGACCGCACGCUUUUCCUUCUGCUCUUUCGUCAAUGUUUUUGGCAGUCGAAGCAAAGCUGCAUAUCUCAAUGUUUCUUUCACCGUCAGGUGGGGAAACAGAACGUCCUCCUGCAUCACGAAUCCUACCCUGAACUUAUUGUAUGGCUGAUCAUUGUACGUAAUCGAACCACCAACUGUAGACCGUAUGAGCCGUCCUCCAAGCAGAUUGAGCAAUGUUGUCUUGCCACUUCCUGAAGGUCCCAUUAACGCCAGAACUUCACCAGGGUUUACUAAACCGGUGGCAAAGUGAAGCCAUUGAAGGAGAAUGACAAACCCAAGCUAGCACUUGAAGCUCUACUCAAAGCUGCACCACUGCCCAAAUCAUCCAAAUCCAGCUUCAGCUGUGCACUCCUGGACUUCCUGAUGUGUGUGUUUCGACCACCGCUGCCACUGCCACGCCCUGGUGAAGGAGCUGUCAACGUCUGCCUACUCGACUUCCUCGAGAGGGUUGUGCUGCCACUCUCCCCCACCACCCCACCGUUCACCUCGCUGCUCGACGUCGGAGACUUGAAUGCUGCUGCCACCUUCUCCAAAAGUUGAUCGGAUUUCGUCCUCGCUAGGGCUAAUGAACUCGUUGGCUUCUCCAUGUCGCCUCCAACCUUCUUUCUUCCUAGUGUUGACAUAAAAAUAUUGGUUUGACAUUCAUAAUUGUGAAAGAAGAUUUAUUUUUAGUUCAUAUUGACCAUACCUUUUUUGUGAUGUUGAAGGAGAGGGGAGAUUCAGAAGUGAAGAACUUAUAGAGAGAGAAAGAGUUGGCUCAAUCUAUUGCACCUUCAAUGGUA